UCUUUUCUUUUGAUAGGAGAGUUUUUAAAACCAGUGUUAUUUUUGUAAGUUUAAGAGAAGUUUGUGUAUUGAAUUUUUAAUAUUAAAGAGCUUUGUUAAACUUAGACUUAAGUUUAGGUCAUUUUGGGGGUUUAGCUCAGUUGGCUAGAGCAUCGGCUUUGCAAGCCGAGGGUCAAGGGUUCGAGUCCCUUAACCUCCAUUGGGCUUAUGUCCUAAAUUGUAAUUAAGUAUGUUUUUAAGCAACUUUAUUAAAGUAAUUGUUGGAAUGUGAAACAGAGGAAGUUAAAAUUUCUGGGUUAAGUUGAGAUCUGUUGAUAUUAAGAAGAAUCUCUAGAAGUAAAAGCAAGCUUUCGAUAAAACCCGAAGUUGUUUCGCUAAAGUGCAAGGAUUAAACAGGAUUGUAUUUUCCAGUAGCCUAUUUUAUAAACGAUCUGCAUUUAGUAAAUAGUUUUUAGUUAGGAAAUAAUGUAUAUUGCUAAGUGUGAUGUC
rnacentral:misc_RNA from 1 species